CAGUACCUCAUUUUUUUAAAAAUAUCCUGUAUGUGCCAUCAUAUCUUACUGAAAAUGCACGUUUCUACAUAUUAAAUGGCUCUGCACAUUUUGUAUGAUUUUUUCAAUUCAUGGCAGCUGCCUCAAACAAGCUUGAAAGGCUCUAUUAUGGUCUAUUGGGUCAAAAAUUGCUUUUUUUUUGCGCAUUGAAGUACUUAGUUACAGUGAAUUGGUAACACUAUAUCCACACCAUAAUAUGCAUAUUGUGCAUGGCAAAAGGCGAAUAAUUUGUAAUCGCCAUUUAAACUAAAAGCAUAAAUACCUACUGUAUUCAGCAGAUCUGAAAAGUUCUACCAGUACGUAUUUGAGAGGUCAGCAUGUUUGUUUGAAAGACCAGAAAGAUCUGUGAGAUGAUAAUGCAACUUGCUGAACAAAAGUAGGAGUUACAGCUCUUUUGAAUUUUUUGUCUACUCCCCCUUCAUUAUUAACACGCAAUCCACUGAAAUGUAGUUCAGGAAAUUCACAAGUGAAAAUCUGUGUCCAUUAACAUGCAUCACACACGCAAUCCUCCACUGUGACAGAAGUUCAGCUAAGAAAGAUGUCUUGUCCUUUUUGAAGACCCCAUUUCUUGCUCUGCCAUUCACAUUAGGAGUAUCCUCUCCUUACAGAAAACAAGGAAAAACUGAGGAAUAACACAAGAAUUCACGAGUGUCAGAAAGCAGGCUAGGAUUAUUUCUUUGCUGUUAUCUUUUUGCUGUGCAAAUUCAGACCCUCUCACUUUUGAUAACCUUUCCUCAUAUAAUCCUUCCUCACCUGUGAUCCUUGUUAACUCUGCGCGAGAGAAAGUCCACUAAGCAGAAGAGGGCAUUGGCAGGGGGAGAAGAAUAUCAAAGUCAGAUGUGAGUGAUGCGGGUGACUGCUGGACUGUGUCACCACUGUCCUCUCUGUGCCUCCUGCAGUCCUUAUUUGCCAGGAACUCCCUUACUCUGACUGCUUUUUUCUCACAGAUUUUUGCUGAUAUUUAAAUAUCCUCCUCCUUUCCCUUAAUUGUGUAGUGAUCCACAUGUAGUACAUAUAAUGCAUGGACUCACUUUCAUCUACAAAGCCUGAAGAUAUUGUUCAUUAUGUUUCAUGUGCCAGAACAGAUUAAAAUUAUUCCCAGAAGGGUACGUGUUUAAACUGGCAAAGAAAAGUGAUUGACAUUUACCAUAAGUACUUUUGUCAAAGCUUUGGCAUGUUAUCGGUUUGCAGAACUAUUCUAAUGAUCAGUGUCCGUACCCACCAGAUGUGCUAUGAAGAAUAUGCCGGAUACUUGUAAAAUUCUGCUUCGCUCUUAACAGCAAAUGUGUAAAAUACAAACGGGUUAGGCUACAAAUUCUGCUAGAGAAAUUUGAUUGGUUUAAAAGCUGAGCCUGAAGGGUCAGAGAAUGUAAAUAAUUCGAGGCAGGAGCCUACCCUCUUGGCUAGUUUCAGAAAACAUGGAUUAUUAUCUCUAUCUUCAAACACUAAAGUGCCUUGUAUAAAUUUGCAGCUUCCAUACUGAAGCGGGCAGAAAUAGGAGAUACUUAAAAUAAGACUGUAUUUCUGUAUCUGAGGGGGGAAAAAAAAAAAAAAGACGAAGAAAAGAAAAACAACACAGCAUUGCCUAUUCCUGUUUGUUUAUCCUAUUAUUCCCAAAUGCCCAUUCCUAGUUUGUAAACAUUAUUGUUUUCAAAGGGUACAAGAACAAGCACUGAAAUGAAGUCUGUCACGAACACAUGGAGGGAGGAUUUAAUUUUUUCAGGCUCUUCAGGUGCCAAGAGCUUGGCAGAGGUUGCUUGCUAUUCCUUUUGUUCCCAGUUUUGGAAGAACUAGCCGACAGACAGCUUGCUAACUAUACCAGUGCAUGGUAGGUGCUUGAGCUGGAUUUGCAUCUGCUCAGAAUACCUGAAGUCAGCAAAACUAGUAGAGAAUGUUGGUGAAUGGGAUCUUGGGCCAGGUUCCUCUUGUGACUUUUCCAAGUAUCCAAAGUAGAGGAUCUUUUUUCCUGAGCUACUUAUCAUGGCAUUUAGACAUUUAUUUAUGAAGUUCUAAGGCUCUAAAUCCUGCACAUCAAGUAAAUUCUUUAAGUAUUGAAUAUCAAAUUUUUAUUAAGGUUGAAUUAUUCUCUUAGGCUGUGUUCCUAUUGGGACAGACAUUAGUAACAGAACAUCAGGCUUUUGUUGGUCUUCUCUCCAGGAAGAAGAUUACAAAUAUUUGUGAAUUCAAGUAAGAGCUCCUACACAAAAUGGGGUUUUUUCUUAGAUAAAAACUCAAUUUUACCACUUUCUUAUCCACCUCCUACCAGUCAUUCAAACACAGAUUUUAGAUCCUUGAUGGAUUGUCUUGAAAACUGGCCCAACAAAAUUUGUCUGUCUACUUAGUGGUAUUUAUUUGCAGUGAUUGCUCCCACAGUGGUUUUUCACAAAGUGAAGCUAGAGAAGAUUAUAGUGAGCUUUUUGGGUUGUUUUUGUUUUUUGUUGGUGGUGGUGGUUUGGGGUUUUAUUUUGUGGAUACUCUCCCCUUUUCCAUCUGCCAUAACAGUGGUUAAAAGGCUGCCAAUUCCUUCUUUGACCUUACUUAGGAAAAAUCUCAGCUGAUUCAGGAUCAUGUAUGAACUCCACUCCUGUAGAUGCCUAAAAGUAUUAUUUGUGCACUAUUGUAAAUAUCUGAUGUUCAUGACUUCAGGUGUCCUCAUAUGCUCUCAUUGUGUGGAACAGUUAUUACUUGGCUGGUUUUGCCCUGCUUCUCAUCAUGGCCCGGGAGGCUCAGUGACAGCCCUUCCACAAGCUGGUUCUUCUACUAAUUUACUGUGCAUUCAGAGAGGGUAACAUUUCCAGAGUGCAACCAAAUGAAAAAAAAAAAAACAGGAGUUUAUUAAGAUAUAUGCCAAAACUACAAACACAGAGGUUUCAGAUUGCUUUUCUGCUCCUGCUUCUGAAGAGAAGUGAUGAGGAGCUGUCCUAUGAAAUGAUAGGGAAGCACUUGCAGAGGAGCACAGAGAUUAGGGAUACCCCUUGGAGGAAGGCAUUCAUGCUCCAUGCCAACCUGUGGGCUCCCAUCCACCUCCCACUGCCCACCGCAGCUCCUCUUUCCUGCCACGGGACACCACCAACCCUGGCUGUCCUUGGCCCCAGCACUUCCCAAACUCAGCAGGACUCAGUUCACUGGCCUGAAACAGUGGAAUAAAUCUCACAGUUUUUCCCUCAAGAGGUAUAAUCCUUCAGUUUUCAUGACGGCAGUUUUCCUGUUUAUUUCAACAGAAGUGGUAUCUCAAGAUGAAUGGCAGGAUAAUACCCAUUUGAAAUAUAAGUGGACAGCAGCAUCAGAUCAAAUGGAUGGUGAAAAGAGACUGAAUGGAAAAUGAUGACAGGGCAAAAAUGUCCCUUCCUACCAACAUCUUCAAUGUUUUCAUUUCCAAGCAUUUGUUAAGCAAGGAAGAGGAUCUCUCUCUAUUUAAUGUAAUUUAGUGAUAAUUCUUUGGAAAAGAGAAAAUAUCCUUUCACAGCUGUAUCAACAAUAUCUUCUCUCUUAAAAGAAAACAGCAGCUGACUUGACAUGUCAAGCAUCACGUAUUUGGCCACGGAAGGCAAGCAUGAGCCAGACUGGUCAAUAGCACUGACUUGGAACAAUGCCACUGAAAAGUUGGUCUGUAAACUGAUGCUACCUUAUUUCUUGGAUUGUAGAAGGGCUUGCUGAGAUUUAGCAGCAAUGCAGAACUACCACAUUCCCGGUAGAUAUUUCUUUUCUUGUUACAUGAGACCCAUGCAUGAAGUGAAAAAGAACAAAUGAACAUCAGGUUUACAUCACCACUGAUAUGUGAAUGAUUGAUCACCCAUUAAAUCACAUACAGAGCUGGUAACAGCACACGGGGUAGCGUUAAAGUAAAAUGUUUGAUAUUCUUUACUCUAAUUAAACAUGGAAAUAAUACGAUGCAGUCUGUAUUGUAAAUGUUAUUGCAGAUUAUAGACCUAAAGGAGAGGUGUUAUGCCACCUUUAUAGCCUCCAGUUCCUGGAGACUGUGACUUAGAGCUGCCUCAGGGCUGCCCUAAAUUACACCAGUUGGUAAUGACUCCCAGAGGGCCGCUAUGCAUCCAGUGGUUGCUGGAGUGUAAAGUACUUUGGCUAUGCCAACAGCCCAUCAUUUCACAAUGGAGGCUGAGAGCAGCUGGCAUAGUGCUUGGAGAAAAUCCCCAAGUAGUGGUUUAAGACAUUUUUCGAACUCUUUUUUUUUUGUCAUGAGAGUGAUAUAAAAUAAAGGCCAGAUUUCACAAACACACAGGGGCUUUUCCUUUAUUAUUUAAGCAUCUGUAGUCGUGAGUUGAUAAACUGAGAGAUGAGGGUUUCUAUAGGAUUUCAGAGCAGGUAUCAACCCAAUACUGCUUCAGCUUGGCAGCAUUCCAGCUCUUUGCCCUGGCCCCUAUUCCCUGCGUGGUGCAGUGGAGCACCACUGGCUGUCAAAGGCAUACUCCUGGUUUACAUCUCUGUUAGCAAAAGGAGAACUGGAUUCCCCCUUGUAAGUGCCAGAUUUUCAAUUCAGGAUCAUAUUCCAUUCUUCGAUGGAGCUGCCAAAGAUAAAACUUGACUUUCCACAUGUAAAAUGUUUUUGUAAAUGUAUGUGUGACUCAUUCAAUAGCUCAGCCCAUCCUCACUCAGUGAGUGAUGAUUUUUCUGUCCAGUGUGUGGGUGGGCUGACCAUUCUUACGCAAAUCUCAAAUAUAAAAAGUUUUCUUGGACAUUAGGGAAUAAUAUUGGCAGUUUGGGGAUUUUGUUUUGAUGUGAUGCUCACUUAAAGCAUCCUGAAGAUAAUAGCUGACUGCUAGCAGCAGAAACUCACAACUCACAAACUGAGAUGAUGCAGCCCAAAAUUCAGAUGGCUGUGUUUUCAAAUCUCUGAGAUAACAAGCCACUGCUGUUGAUCUUACUAUAAGUUCUAUGAAACAUAAUCAAAAAUAAAGUAAGGGACAGAGAUAUCACAGGUAGGAAAUCCUUUGGGCAGUCACAGGUAGGUGUUGUUCUCAGAUAAAUUUACUAGAGAAAAGUAAGUAUCUUUUCUGUUCUAAAGAGAGUUAUUUUAAAGAGUCACUGAGCUCCAAUAUCACUGAGGAGGAGAAUGAUUUCACGGAGAAAUUUUUCUGGAUGUGAAUUCAUAAAGGACUCACUCUCACAUUGUGUGGAGAAAGAUGAGUGUUAAGACAGAGGGCUGAGCUGUAACCUUCCUAAUGGGAAGAAAAAACUAGAAUUCCCUUCUCUUUCGCAGAGUUCUCUGAGCUAGUCCUGGCUAGCAGACCUGUGUAGGGCAGCAAAAAGACAAAAGAAGGACUGAUUAAAGAAGCUAACAUGGCAUCUUGUCUGCUCCCUGACUGUGCAUCCUUCUGUACACGUGGAAGAGAGAUGGUCUGGCAUUUCUGUCUCUCCCUGCAAGGAUCAAAUGGUGGUGAGAAAACUUCCUUGGUGCUUUGUACCUAUCUGCUGACAGAUGGACACACAAAGAGUUCCCAAAAAAAGGUGAGGAACGUGGAUCAUCAAAUGGUAGUAUAAAACAUAAUAAAAUGGUCAGAAAAAGACAUUAUCUGGCCCAUCGUUCUGCCUGAAGGCAGGAUUGACUUCAGCUACGUACAUUCUGAUAGCCAUCUGUCACUCUAUUUUUUGAAUUAUUAAAUGAUUUUUAGUAGUUAUAACACCUGUUAUUAUCCUCUAAGCAAUCCAUUCCAGUGAUUAGCUAUUAUUUCUGCACCCUGGAAUAACAUUGUUAACCUAGAACUAACAUGAGCCAAAUACUGGAGGUAUACGUGUUAUACUCACUUCUUUCACUAGAUCCUUUCUGGAGUUUGGAAAGAAGCCUAAUUAAAAUUAGAUGACUUGCACCCCCCCAUAUCAAAGGAUCUGGGCCAUGAUUUCUGUUGAUUUAAUGGUUUAAAAUUGACAAAAUUCCUUGGAUGGAGAAGGAUUUAUUUUGUAUUUCUACUGGAGCUGGAAUACAAUACCUGAGGACAGGAAAGUGUUUUGUUAAAAAAUAAAAGCAACUGAUUUUGUCUUCUGUGUGCUUUUAAAAUUUGUUCUGAAGGCAGAAAGGGAUGGAUAACUAUGUAAUUAAAGAGAGCUAAAGGAGGGACAGUAAUGAACAAAUACCAUUAUUUUUGCCAUAGUUCUUAAGGAAGCUAAGGUAGAGGUGCAGAAAAUCUGUUACAGUGAUGCACUUUACUUAGCAUGGGAGUUCAUGCAGUGCAAAGAGCUUGAUGUGUGCAGCUGAGCUGGGCCUAAUGGGCAUCAGUUGUUAUCUGUGGAAAUGGAGUCUGUUAGAAGGAGGCUGGCUACUAUACCCGUCUGAGAUGGCUAGUGGGAUUUUCAACAUACUAGUGACCUUUUCUUACUCAUUUUGCUGAAUUUUUAUCCAAUAAAAGCCAUCAUGUGCCCCAUAUACCCAAGUCUGUAUUGUGCAUUAUGAGUCCGUUGGUGAGGGUGUUGUGAGAAGCAGAUGGAGAGGAGUAGAAGACUGUAGAGAUGGAACAGGGGUUGGGGAACAAGGGGAGCUGCUGAAAGCCAUAUACACUCAAGCACUCUCACAUUUACAUAUAUUCUUUUAAGUAUGCUUUUAUACAUACAUGUAUAUGCAUGUAUAUACAAAGUGCAUUCUACACAGCAUUUCUCUCCCAGAAAUGCAGAAACUGCUGUGAAUCUGCCAACAGGCUUUGCAUACUUAUGCUAGGAAAAUUCUUAAGGAAAACGAUUAUAUACCUGUUGUAAAUUGAUCCAGUUUGAUAAGAAUUUUGCUAAUUAAUUAUGUGCCUUAUAAAGCUCCUGGCACAUGAGGAAGUUACAGACAAUUAUGAGUAACUAAGUACAGAAGUUUAAAUAGCAAAAAACUUGUUACCUGUUAAUGCUGUUCCCUGUCCAUUUUGAUGGGCGCAUACUGGUUAUGGUCACUCUCCAAUCCUGUAUUAAAUAAACAUAAGUUUAACAGAAAUGUUGCCGACUUUGUUUUCAUUGUGCAGCAAAUUAUUGCCAUGCAAGGUUUAACUAUGGCUAGUGAAAGUCACAAAGACCAAGUGGUAUUGUUCCAUAGGGCUGCUACAGCAGUUUAGUAACGUAAUAGCUCUGAUUUUCAGAAUCCUGACAAGUUACUAUGGCUUUGAUCAAACAUGAAAGGAAGUACAGUUUUGUUCCAGACCAUUUAGAACAAAAGCUUUGUUUACUUUUUUUCCCUAUUUUUUUUGAAAAUGUGUGGGUUUCUCAUCAAAUAAGAUCAGCUUCAGUCUUAGGUCAACAUGACAUUUAGCAUGCGUGUCUUUGUGCAAAGGUGGACUACUUUUUCAGUGAAAAUCAGCUCAGUUUUUAGAAGAAAGUGGGUUCUAGAGGUUGAAGGUUUACCGACAAAACUCCAACCAAUUGCAAUUUUAAUAACAUGUAAACAAGUGGAUUAUCUACGGUGGGCUGAAUGCUGACAGGUGAGCAACAGUGCUGGAUGCUUCCAGGAUGCAAACAUAAUCUUGAGAGACAGAGAGACCUUCCUCAGAAGCACGAGUACACAGGAUUCAUUGGGUAGGUUGCUUCCUCCCAUAGGAAAGUCUAUGUUGUAAAUGCUUAGUCCAGUUUCUAAGGUCUCUGAUAGGCUUUUAUAUCUGGAUCUGAUCCACAAAUAGACCUGGCUCCUCUUCAAGCUAGUGAGCCUAGUGAGGUUGGGAAUCUGACCUUGCCCUUUUAUAGCUAGUGGAGUUUGCGUGUAUCUCUCCUCACACCAGUGUUUACAGUUGACAUUGAUGAAGUUUCAGUAUUGGCCCAUAAUAGCGGG
ensembl:lncRNA